rfam:Marchantia polymorpha subsp. polymorpha scaffold3491, whole genome shotgun sequence.
AGGAGCCGUAGGACGGGAAACUGUCACGUACGGUUCUGAGUUGGCGGCCAGGUGGGAGACCCCUGGUCGACCAUAAC